UGGGUUGCCUUCACCAAAGCAACUUGAUUGGAGAAAUAAAUAGAAAGAGAGGAUAAUAUGAUUUAUUAAUAUGUUAUAAGAAUAAUAUAUUAAAGGAGAAAUCAUAUUUGUUUAAUUAAUAUUGGUCAAUAAUUAAUUGAGAAUUAAUUUUGUGAUCAAGUGUAAUUAAUUAAACUAGAGGGGCUGAUUUGUAAUUAUGUGAUAGUUACAAAAUAAGGUAAGGAUUAUCUUAUAUAUAUGGUGAACGAAUUUGAGGUGUAAAUCCCUUAGAAUUCGACUAGGAUAAGGGUUUCUAGGACUUAUCUUAUGGUUGCUUGGUGGACAAGCAACUAGAUAAGGAUAAGGACUAAAACCCUAAUCUUUACACCUAUAUAAACCCCCUAAGGCUUAGGAAUUCGUCUAACCCUUCCCAAGAGGUCCUAAGGACGAAUUCUAACCUCCCUCCUCUCUCUUUAUACCUUCUCCACUUGCUUAUGGUGUUUGUAAGCCAUUAGAGGAGUGACACUUGUGACUCUUUGCUUUCCAAGGUCAAUUCAAGGAGGAAUUGGAUUGUUAUUGCUACAUAACAAUCAAGGUAUGUUCUUAAACCUAUUUACAUGUGAAUUCUGAUUUCCAUAUGCUAGAAUUAGGGUUCAAAGUCUUGGAUUCAAAGUAUGUACAAUAGAGAAACCUAGAUCCGAGCUUUAGGGUUUGUAUGAGCACAUAGGAUGUCUUAUGACCAAAACCCAUCAGUGGUAUCAGAGCCAUGAUUGGUUUCUAUUGUAUUGAUGCUUGAUGUAACUGAAAAUCGUGUUUUGGCCUCACUGUUCGACCUGACUCGGCGAGUCACUCUUGGACUCGGCGAGUCAGCCCUACUCGGCGAGUUCCAGAGGGUGACUCGGCGAGUCGGUGCGUCAGACAGUGCUUAUCUCGGGAUUUCUUGCUGUUUUUGCAUUGGGAUAAUUACCUUAUCAUGUUAGAUUAAUAUUAAUCCGAUUAUAUGAUAUAUUUGACUAUAUUUUUAAUCUAAUUGAAGAUAUUUAUCAAUUAAUAAGAUAAUUGUUUCCUUAUAAGAUAAUUGAUUAAUUAUUUUAAGUAAAUUGAUAAAUUAUUUUGCAAGAAAUCAUCAAAUAUGGAUAAUUAUGUGAUUAAAUGUUAAUUUGAAUUAUUUGUUAUUUGAUCCUUGUUGUUGUGAAAAGUUUCAUAUUUGGCCCUUUAGGUUUUAUAGUUUAAAUUUGAACCCCAAAAGUUUUGUUGUUUUGAAAUUUAAAUAGUUGAAACCCUAAUGUUUUGAAAAAGGUUUCAAAACUUGCCCUCAAGUUUUGGAAUUUAAAUUUUGAUUAAAUAGUUUAAUUUUGAUGCAUAUUUAAAUUCUAAACCCUAAUGUGUUGAAAUGUUUCAAAACUUGCCCUCAAGUUUUGGAAUUUAAAAGUUGAUUAAAAGUUUAAUUAGGAAUGUUAAAUUCUAAAACUCUAGUAUAGUUUUGAAAAAGUUCAAAUCACACCCUUAUGGUUUUAUUAAUUAAUUAAGGUGUAUAAUUAAAAGAGGUUUAAUAAAUCCAUAAAAGUUUAGGUUUACAAUUUAAUUGAAUUAAAAGUAUAAUUGUUAAAUUAGACCACCUAGUAUUUUAAAAGUAUAAAAUACACCCUAUACUAUAUAUAACAUUAAAAGUCUAACAUUAUAUAUAUGUAUGAGUAAAAGUCAGUCUUACCGUUAGUAGGCCUCAUUCACGAAGCUGGUCUAUAAGGGGUGUUUAAGGAAAUUGCCUAUAAAAUGGCGAUUGAAUGGGUAUCCACUCUUACCCACCGCACUCUUGACUAGUGGAGGGUCGUUAGCCGAACGGGUAGGAUAGGACGAAACCUUCCAUUAUAAGUAUAAUGAAUUAUUAAAGUAACUAAAUGUUUUCAUAAAAUUCCCAAUCUUAGUUACUUAGGCAAAAGUGAAUUGAUGCAAUUCCAUGAAAUUACACUUUGUGCCCUUGCGAAGACGUUAGUGGAGCGUGUGUGGUUUACCGGCACACUAAAUGGUUCUAAGCAAAGGUAGCAAAGGGUGACUCAAUGUUUGUCAUAGUUCGGUGGAGCGUGUGUGGUUUACCGGCACAUCGAAUAGGUGACUGUAACAUGUGAGGGCACCAUGUAAGUUUGCAUGGUUAUUCACACCCGCUUUGUGAUCCUCGGCAUCCCAGUCACAAACAAGAGGGGCAUAUCGAGAUUUAAACAUGCCAUUGAAAGUUCAAUGAAUCUCAAAGGAUCUAGGAGUUUUCAUAGAUUUAAAACUUAAAUUUCUUUUUCGUUUUUCAUGGUGGAAAUUAGUGAAUCGUCAUUCACUUACCUUCAAAUAUUCUGCAAUUAGGGUUACGGCAUCCCUCUCCCGAGUUGUAGAAUAUUGUGUUGGGUCCUAGCCUUAGUAUCUCAUUUGGGUGAUUUACUAAGGACUCAAUCAAUCAACUAACUUGAAUUCGUUUUCUCCCGUUUUGUAGAUGUCAAAGUUCGACAACUAUGGUCUUCCCAAAUCCCGUGGAACAAGCAUUCCACAUGAAGAUGAUAUUCCACGAUUCGAUCGAGGAACAAGAAAUCAUGCUUCACUUCCUCCUCCUCCUCCAAUUAUUCUCCCUAACCCACAAGUUCAAAGGCUUGAAAAGUUCAAGAUCACUCAAGCCCUUUUGGCAAGUAAACAUAAAGAAGGAAAGUCGGUGUGUGCACACGUCCUAGGGAUGAAGUCACACAUUGAUAGGUUAAGAAUGUUGGGAUCCGUUGUCUGUGAGGAAAUGGCUGUUGAUUGGGUUCUUCAGUCACUUCCUAACUCAUAUAGUGAGUUCGUAAGAGAGUACUAUAUGAUGAACCGCGACGUGACCCUUAUAGAUCUCACCUAUAUGCUUAUUGCUGCUGAAUCAGCAAUGGUUUGGCGCAAUAGAAAAGCAAAGUUGAUUGGUGAAUCUGCCUUCAAGACCUCUAUGGAUAUAGACAAUGGCAACGAAAGACAUGCUAUGAUCGAAAAGUUUGAUCAUAAGAGAAAGGCAAUGUCUGAAGUAGUUCCAUGUCAUGUUCCAAAAGAGUCAAUUUGCUUUUAUUGCCAAGAGAAAGGGCAUUGGAGACGAAGCUGCCCCAUUUACCUAAGAGAUCUAAGAGAUGGGAGAGUCGAAACGUAUGGCUCUAAUAUAGGUAAAAUCCAUUAACUAACUCUUUUAAGCUUCUAUUCUAGAUUCUUAAUACAUAAUGUGAUAAGAUUACAAUUGAUGUUUUGUAGGAUCGAAGAAAAGAAAGGAAGCUUAAGGGAAGAAGUGAGCAGAAUCUAACCGUGAAGGAAUGGAUUUCGAUCGCAUUUCUCGAAGAUUAGAUUCUUGAGCUACUACUUAGAGUUAGAAUUAGAUUGCUAAGAAAGAUGUAUUAGCAUAGUUUUUCAAUGAAUUGCAUUGUAAGGACAAAUUUUUUCCGCAAUAAAAUAAAUUUUGAUUUUAUAUUAUUUAUUUAUCCUUGCAAUGGCGUAUAUGAAAAAUUGAUGUUUGAAUGUUUCUAUUAUUAGCAAUAAUGGAUUUGGUUCUUAUUAUGUUAUUUAUGGAAAGUCGAGAAUUUACCAAAUAGGGAGAGUUUCUCAUCGCCCAAGUUUCAAUUGGACAGAAACUUGGAAUCAUGCAACUUGGUUGCACGAUGAAUGAGAAAUUUCAUAUUUGGAAAUUAGACUAAUUCAUUGACAAAGUGUCAAGUGAAGGACUAGGAGAUCGAGUACACAAAGUUGCGUGUUGAUCAAGUCCACCAUAAGAGUAACAAAGAUAUUCGUCAUGAUUUACUAAAGGUUUAGUAAAUAUGAUUAUACUUACAAGAUUAAGUGUAAUUCUGAAUUGAUUGAAAAAGUUUAAAUCAAUAGCAGAACGAAUAAGAAGAAUCAAGUAGGCAGAAAGAUAAAAGUUUCUCCAUUCUAAGAAGAAGGGAGAGUACCUUUUAUGCUUUAUGAUAGGUCUUAAUGAUUAAGAACCAUAUCUCAAUUGAUCCUCUAAGUGAGUCUUAGUACAAUUGUAUGUCUAAGAAGAGGAAUCAAGAAUUGAAGAAAUGGUUAAAUCAAGAAGUCAAUCAUACUUCGUUCCAAAACAAGUCUUAGAGUUAAGAUUGUGACAUUGAGUGAAAAGUAUUAAGAAGGUUUAUAACAUUCAUCAAAUGUGGAAAGUUGUGAUGUCUUGGAUAAGACAAAGACCAACUAGGACCAAUUUAUGAAGUGUUUUGAUAAAAGCUACACUAACUCUUGAAUAUUUGUUUGUCAAGAAAUGUUUAUUGACAAGAGAAUCUUAUAUGUCAAGGAGUCAGUGGGAGUCUUAAUGGUCUUGAAAGGUUUCAAGAACAAAUCAAAUAAACCUUAUCGAUCAUCACUAGCACACGAGUUGAGGUUUACAACCUAUCGUGUUGACAUUAUUUUGUUUCUGUGCCAAUCCAAUCGAGUUAAUUAUGCAUGUGAGUUCUAUGAGUUCUCAUUUUGAACGCAUAAAAGGCAAAGCACCUUAAUCAAUGAAAGGUACAUUGAUAGGAAAGGGUGAGCUGCUUAACUACUUGGAAGACAUGGUGGGCAGCUGUGCUACCAUAAGGCAAGAAAUCAAGAUUAAGAAAGUUCGGUCCAUAUGAGUUUGAAUUUGUCGUAAACUUUGGUUUUAACAAAUUCACAUGGAUAGGAACACAUACACCGUUUAAAUCUAAGUGUCAUAAGAUUUCCUCCUUCAUGAAAAUGAUUGUGAGGAAAUGCUUUCACUAAGAAAGAUUUUAAGAAGAUAGUGAUUGUAAAAUUGCAUUCUCGAAUUCGAUUAUGGUUACGGUAUCCCUUUCCAUAAUUUGAAUUGUGAGGUUUGGCAAUUAGUCUUAAUUGUUUAGACACACAUAUGAACUAUCGAAGGCAAAGGUGUAUAAGUUCAAGAAGCCUUGAUAAAGGAUUAUCAAAGCACUAAGUAUUAGAAACAUGAACUUAAGAAAUUCAAUAAGUAUUGUUUUUCUGAAAGUUAAGAUGUUUAUGAAUACAUGUCGAAGCUAGUGGGAGCAUAAGUGUUAUGUUUUAUAAUAAUCAUCAUGAUAGUGGGAGCAUAAAUGUUAUGAUUGUAUGAUUAUUAAGGCACGUAUUGCAAGUUGGCAAUAUUAAUUAUAGAAAACAAGAGUUAUACCUUGCAAAGUCGUAAGGGUUGUAAAGUUGUUUUGCUAUAAUUAAGGGAGAGAAUAUUAUGCUUCAUUUCAAAUCUAAAGGAUUAGGUUGAGAAAUGUUAAUAAAUUUAGUCAAAGGUACAUAGUGUGUUCUUAAAAUUUCGAUUAUGAUUACGGCAUCCCUCUUCACAAUUCGAAUUUUGAGAACAUAGCAAAUAAAACAUUAUGCGUCGUGUCCCAUACGCUUCGGGUAUAGGAUCGAUUGCAAAUGCUUUAAUGUUUGACCAUUCUAAAAUUUUCCAAAUGUCGAGCGCAUUUAGAGGGAAAAGGGACUAGAAUUGGUUUUGACUAAAAUAAUUAAACAACUAUCAAAGGACAAUCCAAAGUUCGACGAGGAUUGGUCGCUUGUGAGUAGUUGGAAGUAUAGUAUUGGAAAAUAUGGAAAUGUUUCCAUAUUGGAUGGACCAUAUCGACAUCAUUACGAAUAGAUAAGAUUCUAUUAAGAAUGAGUUGUCAUAUGGAACAUAUGGAAGUGUGUCCAUAUUGGGAAUUGAAUAUUGAGAAAUCUAUGACUAGAUUAGAAACUUCUAUGCAAAAGGAUGUUCAAAGAAUGUACUUUGAGUGAGAGACAUCACGUCUAUGGAAUUGUCUUGUAACAAUCUCCGAUAGAGGACUUUGUAAUAUCAUUGGCAAUAGUCUUUGUGACUUUGGUGCAGUGACAUUACGAAAGGAUAGUUGCAUAGAAUGUUAGAAUCUAGCAUAUUCUAUAAGUAGCAAGAAUUUGAUAUUCUUUAACUUAUGAAAAACGGAUUUGGAGUUGUGAAAUGAGAAGGAUUGGAAAUGUGUUCAAUGUGAUCUAUUUCACAAAGUAAGAACCAUAGGUAAACAUUGUGUGCAUGCUAGGAGCAUGGGACAAGUGUUGGAAUUCAAGUAAGAAGUUGAUUACCCGAAACGACAAAUAAUGAGUAAUCAAUAUGGUGAUAAAUAAAAGGUGUUUUAUUUAUACUCAAAGGUUUGAGGCCAUAUGGGAUUAGUAUUAUUCUUGUGUUUCACAUUUGCAUGUUUUGACUUCCAGAAUAAUUGAGUUUAUUAAGAAUAAUCGAAUUAUUCAAACGGGCCACAGUCGUUCAUAUGUUGGAAGUAGAUAUGAAUGAAGACUGUCGUGAAUUGGUGUGUGGAUUGUCUAAAAGAGUAUUAGACAUAAGCAAAUGUUUGCUGCAACGUUCAUGAGUGCUUAUGAAUGUGAUUUGAGCAUUGGAUUAAACCCACGCUCACUUGGAUCACUCCAUGAAUUGUAUCACGAGUGAUUGGUGAGACGAUAACAUCUUAUAUUCUUGAAACCGAGAUGUGUGAGUUGUAUCUUGCAAAUCGGUUGCACAUUGAUAAUAUGUAAACGCACUAGUAACUUGGUGUUAUAAAACAUAUUGUUGUGUGUGAUUCGGUGAGUGAGUGCAAGCAAGCAUUGUAUCAAAGUUUAUCCGUUCCUUUUAUCCAAAGUAGGAUAAAAGCGAUAUCUUUGGGCCCCUCGAUGGUUUAGUGAUGACAAACGUAAAUGCUCGGCCGGGCUAGGGCUAAUUUGAUUUGUUCAAUUAGUCAGUCGUCAUAAAUCGGAAAUCGAGAUAUAGUACAAAGAGAAUGAUUUGAAAUCAUAUCUCAUAUGAUAUCUAGAAUGGAGGAAUAUAUGAUCCCUUAUCUAAGGACACGCGUAUUUGAUAUGAUCAGAGUUGACAGCGGCUUUGGAAAGCUACGAUUGCAGAUCGGGAUCCGAAGUCAUACGCAGAAUAGUUAUUAGACUUAUCCAAGUGGGAGACUGUUGGAUUAGUGUCUAAGUCCAUAACUAUUUUGGUAUGUACUUGACCCGAUGGUGCAUGGUCCUUUUGGGUUGCCUUCACCAAAGCAACUUGAUUGGAGAAAUAAAUAGAAAGAGAGGAUAAUAUGAUUUAUUAAUAUGUUAUAAGAAUAAUAUAUUAAAGGAGAAAUCAUAUUUGUUUAAUUAAUAUUGGUCAAUAAUUAAUUGAGAAUUAAUUUUGUGAUCAAGUGUAAUUAAUUAAACUAGAGGGGCUGAUUUGUAAUUGUGUGAUAGUUACAAAAUAAGGUAAGGAUUAUCUUUUAUAUAUGGUGGACGAAUUUAAGGUUGGAAAGCCUUAGAAUUCGAGUAUGAUAAGGAUUC
rnacentral:lncRNA from 1 species